CAGGAUGAACGCUGGCGGCGUGCCUAAUACAUGCAAGUCGAGCGAACAGAUAAGGAGCUUGCUCCUUUGAAGUUAGCGGCGGACGGGUGAGUAACACGUGGGUAACCUACCUAUAAGACUGGGAUAACUUCGGGAAACCGGAGCUAAUACCGGAUAACAUUUAGAACCGCAUGGUUCUAAAGUGAAAGAUGGUUUUGCUAUCACUUAUAGAUGGACCCGCGCCGUAUUAGCUAGUUGGUAAGGUAACGGCUUACCAAGGCGACGAUACGUAGCCGACCUGAGAGGGUGAUCGGCCACACUGGAACUGAGACACGGUCCAGACUCCUACGGGAGGCAGCAGUAGGGAAUCUUCCGCAAUGGGCGAAAGCCUGACGGAGCAACGCCGCGUGAGUGAUGAAGGGUUUCGGCCCGUAAAACUCUGUUAUUAGGGAAGAACAAAUGUGUAAGUAACUGUGCACAUCUUGACGGUACCUAAUCAGAAAGCCACGGCUAACUACGUGCCAGCAGCCGCGGUAAUAC
rnacentral:rRNA from 1 species